rnacentral:rRNA from 1 species
GACGAACGCUGGCGGCGUGCUUAACACAUGCAAGUCGAACGGUAAGGCCCUUCGGGGUACACGAGUGGCGAACGGGUGAGUAACACGUGGGUGAUCUGCCCUGCACUUCGGGAUAAGCCUGGGAAACUGGGUCUAAUACCGGAUAGGACCACUGCCUGCAUGGGUGGUGGUGGAAAGCUUUUGCGGUGUGGGAUGCGGCCCGCGGCCUAUCAGCUUGUUGGUGGGGUGAUGGCCUACCAAGGCGACGACGGGUAGCCGGCCUGAGAGGGUGACCGGGCACACUGGGACUGAGAGACGGCCCAGACUCCUACGGGAGGCAGCAGUGGGGAAUAUUGCACAAUGGGCGCAAGCCUGAUGCAGCGACGCCGCGUGAGGGAUGACGGCCUUCGGGUUGUAAACCUCUUUCAGCACCGACGAAGCGCAAGUGACGGUAGGUGCAGAAGAAGGACCGGCCAACUACGUGCCAGCAGCCGCGGUAA